UUAUCAUGCAGUCGUGGGGCAGCGCAGUGUUAGCAAUACAUGGGCGGCGACCGGCAAACGGGUGCGGAACACGUACACAACCUUCCUACAAGUGGGGAAUAGCCCAGAGAAAUUCGGAUUAAUACCCCGUAACAUAUAAAGAUGGCAUCAUUUUUAUAUUAUAGCUACGGCGCUUGUUGAUGGGUGUGCGGCUGAUUAGGUAGUUGGCGGGGUAAUGGCCCACCAAGCCUGCGAUCAGUAGCUGAUGUGAGAGCAUGAUCAGCCACACGGGCACUGAGACACGGGCCCGACUCCUACGGGAGGCAGCAGUAAGGAAUAUUGGACAAUGGGCGCAAGCCUGAUCCAGCCAUGCCGCGUGAAGGAUUAAGGUCCUCUGGAUUGUAAACUUCUUUUAUAAGGGACGAAAAAAGGGAAUUCUUUCUCACUUGACGGUACCUUAUGAAUAAGCACCGGCUAACUCCGUGCCAGCAGCCGCGGUAAU
rnacentral:rRNA from 1 species